CCGCACGAGUCCUGUCAACAGCCCUGGCUUGGCCGCCCCCCGUGCCAGCCACUCGCGCCUGAGCAGUCCAUACUUGAGUGAGAUAGACAAGUAUCUAAUGCGGGCACGGAGGGCAGCAAGAAGAUGGGAGCAGGCUUUUCUCGGUGGUUCGCGAGCAGUAGGACAGGAGGCAGUGGGCACAAACUGAUGCACAAGAAGUUCCACCUGAACACGAAGAACUUCCUUGCUCUGCGUGUGACCAAGCAUUGGCACACAUUGUCCGGAGAGGUUGUGGACUCUCCCUCAUUGGAGAUACUCAAGAACCCUCUGCUCGCGAUCCUGUGCGGUGUACUCUCAGAUGACCCUGCUUGAGCACGGAGGUCGGACCGGAUAACCCACUGUCGUCUCUUCCAACUUGGCCGAUUCUGUGUUUCUGCAAUGCCUUCGUAGGGCGCUUCCCCCCAGCCCAACCUUUAUACGUAGUUUGUUGUGGCAGAUACCUGGCUACAGCACUUGUUGCUAGAGGACACGGAAUGAUUCACACAAACACGUCUCAGUGAUGUGAUA